rnacentral:rRNA from 4 species
AGAGUUUGAUCCUGGCUCAGGACGAACGCUGGCGGCGUGCUUAACACAUGCAAGUCGAACGGAAAGGCCCUGCUUUUGUGGGGUGCUCGAGUGGCGAACGGGUGAGUAACACGUGAGUAACCUGCCCUUGACUUUGGGAUAACUUCAGGAAACUGGGGCUAAUACCGGAUAGGAGCUCCUGCUGCAUGGUGGGGGUUGGAAAGUUUCGGCGGUUGGGGAUGGACUCGCGGCUUAUCAGCUUGUUGGUGGGGUAGUGGCUUACCAAGGCUUUGACGGGUAGCCGGCCUGAGAGGGUGACCGGCCACAUUGGGACUGAGAUACGGCCCAGACUCCUACGGGAGGCAGCAGUGGGGAAUAUUGCACAAUGGGCGGAAGCCUGAUGCAGCAACGCCGCGUGCGGGAUGACGGCCUUCGGGUUGUAAACCGCUUUCGCCUGUGACGAAGCGUGAGUGACGGUAAUGGGUAAAGAAGCACCGGCUAACUACGUGCCAGCAGCCGCGGUGAUACGUAGGGUGCGAGCGUUGUCCGGAUUUAUUGGGCGUAAAGGGCUCGUAGGUGGUUGAUCGCGUCGGAAGUGUAAUCUUGGGGCUUAACCCUGAGCGUGCUUUCGAUACGGGUUGACUUGAGGAAGGUAGGGGAGAAUGGAAUUCCUGGUGGAGCGGUGGAAUGCGCAGAUAUCAGGAGGAACACCAGUGGCGAAGGCGGUUCUCUGGGCCUUUCCUGACGCUGAGGAGCGAAAGCGUGGGGAGCGAACAGGCUUAGAUACCCUGGUAGUCCACGCUGUAAACGGUGGGUACUAGGUGUGGGGUCCAUUCCACGGGUUCCGUGCCGUAGCUAACGCUUUAAGUACCCCGCCUGGGGAGUACGGCCGCAAGGCUAAAACUCAAAGGAAUUGACGGGGCCCCGCACAAGCGGCGGAGCAUGCGGAUUAAUUCGAUGCAACGCGUAGAACCUUACCUGGGUUUGACAUGGAUCGGGAGUGCUCAGAGAUGGGUGUGCCUCUUUUGGGGUCGGUUCACAGGUGGUGCAUGCCUGUCGUCAGCUCGUGUCGUGAGAUGUUGGGUUAAGUCCCGCAACGAGCGCAACCCUUGUUCACUGUUGCCAGCACGUUAUGGUGGGGACUCAGUGGAGACCGCCGGGGUCAACUCGGAGGAAGGUGGGGAUGACGUCAAGUCCUCAUGCCCCUUAUGUCCAGGGCUUCACGCAUGCUACAAUGGCUGGUACAGAGAGUGGCGAGCCUGUGAGGGUGAGCGAAUCUCGGAAAGCCGGUCUCAGUUCGGAUUGGGGUCUGCAACUCGACCUCAUGAAGUCGGAGUCGCUAGUAAUCGCAGAUCAGCAACGCUGCGGUGAAUACGUUCCCGGGGCUUGUACACACCGCCCGUCAAGUCAUGAAAGUUGGUAACACCCGAAGCCGGUGGCCUAACCGUUGUGGGGGAGCCGUCGAAGGUGGGACUGGUGAUUAGGACUAAGUCGUAACAAGGUAGCCGUACCGGAAGGUGCGGCUGGAUCACCU